rnacentral:piRNA from 1 species
CUCCCUUUGGUGUUUUAAGACCUUGGAUGC